GGAUUGCUGGAGGUUCACUCCACACCCUGCUUGCAUGGGGAUCACCUGUGGCAGCCUCUGCAUUCUUGCUGGGAACUGCACUCCAGAGCUGUUCCUAUUCGGCCUUCUUGGCUCUUUUAGAUCUUUAACAGAUCAAUGUCAUUUUUUAGGCAAUGUGGUUUUUUUUUUUUCAAAAACUAUCUUUAAUUUUUAGAGAUGCAGACCAAAGUGUUUUGGAAAGAGAUGCCAUUAUGUCUGUAGUUAAUUUUCCUUAAGCAAAAAAUUUUUUAAACUGAAGCAAAUUGAGCAAAAAUGCUAAUUUAAAAAAUCUAGGUGAUGGGUAAUAGGGAUUUUUAUUAUAUGAUUAUUUUUAAUUUUCUGUUUAAAUAUUUGCAUUUAAAGCAAGCCAAAGUAAAAUAUAGCAAUAGAAGAAGAAAAUUUUUCUUUAAUGGAUGAAGUUUGUUGUGAAAAAUGUGCAGGGUUGUGGAGGGGACAGUGAGACUUUUCCUAAUAUGUAGUUAUUCAAUGUUGAGAAAUACCCAAAUAUCCUUAACAUCCAGUACAAUCUUGGCUCACAGUAGAUACUCAGUAUUUAUGUAUUAAAUUGAUAAGACGCCCUGGCACUCCUGGUCUGGACUAAGAUCGCUUCCUCUGUGCUUUCUAGUUUAAGCUUGUUAUAAUUAAAGUGUUACAGAAGCUUUGAGGCAGCAGAGGGAGUCCUUCAUGGUUUGGUGCUUUAGUCAGUAGUAUAAACGUUGCCUGAGGCAUUAUUUGACGAUAAUGAUGACAACAGCAAUAAGCGUAGCUAUCACAUUUCAGUGCUGAGUGCCAGGCACUGCAGAGAACAUUAAAAGCAUGAUCUUGUUUCAUCCGUACCAAUUGCCCUAUCAAGUAGGAGUUGAUGGUAUUCUCAUUUUACAGCAUAAAAAGUAUUGUAAGCUUUCAAGUUCUGUCACUAGGAGGUGGUAGAGUCACAGUUGGAGCAGGUGGUAGAGUCUUAGUUGGAGCCCAAGGCCUCAAUGACUGGUAUACCGAAUCCCCAAAGAGAGAUGGUAUAUUGGGUUGGUCAGGCAGAACACUGCUCAAGUUUUGGCUGCUCUAGGAAUCUCAAGCAGGAGAAUCACAGUUCUGCUCCAGUGUGCUUCACUGAUCCCGUAGAGGUUACAGAGACAGUGACAUGACAUAGAUGGGUUAAGACCCAAAAUGCAAAUAGCGCUAAUACAUAAGUGCCAGGAGAGAGAUAUCUAUAGGUAAGUGCAAUGAGGAUUUAAACAGUUAAAGGUCAUGUGAGGGUGGAAAGGUAGAGGUGGAGUUUGAUUGGGGCUUUGGAGGAAAAAGAAUUUCAGAAGUCAGAAAUUCAUCUAAGAGUCUUCAAAUUCUGCCUGUCCUUACCAAAUAAGUAGUUAAGUUUGAUUGAGCAUGCGUCUGAAGAGGAAGAAUGAGAGGUAAAAGUUUAAAGGUAGAUAAGGGCUUGGGUCACAUCGUGGAUGGCCUUGACUACCAGGAGAUUUUAACUCAUUUCCCAGGUAAGGAGAAACCAUUUAAGGUUUUUACAAAGGAGUAACAUAAUUGGAGUUGCAUUUUAGGACUGGUCUCUUUCAGGAAUAUGCUCUUUCUCACAAAUAUUUGCAUGACAUACUCUCUCUUCUACUUCAGGCCUUUACACAAAUAUCACCUUCUUUGUGAAGCCUCCUGAUCUCCAGUAUACAAUUAUAACCCUAUCCCAGUGCUCCCUGUCGUCUUUCAUGACUUUAUUUAAUAGCACUUAUUUCAGCCUAAUAUACAUGUUUCACCAAUUUAUUUUUAUUGUUCUCUUUCUUCCUACUUGAACAAUAGAGGAGAAUUAUGUCUGUUUUAUUAACUGCUGUAUCUACAGCACUUAGAACAAUGCCUGGCAUGUUGUUAGUUGUCAAUAAGUAUUUCUUGAAGAAAGGACUGAAUAUGGCAAGGAUGUAAAAUAGACAUUAACCUGUAGAGACUGAAGUAAAGCAGAUCAAUUAAGGAGCUCCUGCUGGGAUCAAAAUAAGAGGUGAGUAUAGCCAAUAUAGAAAAUGUAUGGAGAUUCCUCAAAACACUAAAAAGAGAACGACCAUCAAUCCCAUUACUAGGUAUAUAUCCAAAGGAAAUGAAAUCAUUACGUCAAGGAGAUAUUUGUACUCCCAUGUUUACUACAGCACUAUUCAUAACAGCCAAGAUAUGGAAUCAACCCAAGUGUCCAUCAGCAGAUGAAUGGAUAAAGAAAAUGUGGUACAUAUACAUAGUGGAAUACUGUUCAGCCAUAUAAAAU